CCGGAACUCUCAAAAGAAAAAAAAAAGAUCUCUAUCCCCGGCGGUACGCGGGGAAUAGGAUCCGCCCCUCCUCCACUCCCUCCUCUCCUGAGCCCGCGCACGGCCGGCGCCAGCCACCUCGAGGCUUCCCCUCAAUCUCCAUGGACGCGUCCUGCCUCCCAACGGAGGCGGCGACGGGCGCCGACCGCGAUUCGGACCCUCCAAACCUGGGACAGGUAAGAACAGAAGAGGAACUAUACGUGGAAUCCUUUCUAAAGGUUUCACUUUUGCUGGCCAACCAGGAGUUGAUCAAGGUUCAACUUCAUGGCUAUAAGAUGCUUCAGCAUCUCCUGAAAUACAGGAGUGAAAAACUUAGCAGCACUGAUCUUCUAAAGUUGAUGUUACAGCUGGUUAAAUCCGAUCAUGAUUUAGUUUUAGAGAGUACUGACAGUAGAAGCAGCAUGUCAGAUAAAAGAUCCCAGAACAGUGAUUGGAGUGCGGCACCCACGGUGGUACACAUAUUUUAUUUCAAGGGAGAUGCACUCUGACUAUAAUAUACAACCUCUAUAACUUAAUGGAAUCAAUGACACAAUUUCUUCUCACCAAGGAAUGGACUGUCCUAUCCUUGCAGAGCAUAAUUUAUUAUGCGAGGCAUUUAUUAUUGCAACGUCUUGUCUAGGGAUUCAGCAAUACAUGGGUAUGCUUCUAUGUCUACUUAAUUCUCUCAACAGAAUAUGGAUCCAGAUGGAGUGGAAUCGUAAAUAUGUGCGUACCAUGUCUGGAUUGAGCAAUCUAUUUUCUGAUGGUCAAUUUUUGAAGAUGUCUUAUCACGUUGUGAAAUUCUGUGAGGAAAAGCUUAUGAAUGGAAUAAACGAGUAUGGUGCUUGUGGUGUGUUCUCCAUAGCUCUUUUGGAAUUAAUCAUUCCUCUAUUCUUGCGGCUGCUCCGUUGUAUACAUGUACUUUGGAUGGCGGAAAUUGGUGUUGACUUGUUGCCUGCAGAAGUUGAAAAGGCUAAAACCUUGAGCUGUAUGGAGCUUGAUCAUUUGCUUGAAAUUUCUGAUGGGCUGUAUACUAUUGACAGUGAGGGAUGGUUCCGUGAGAAUGAGACAAGGGCACUGUUAGAGGGAACUCGACAGAGGGUGUAAGUACAUUGCUAUAGCGGUUCAGAUAUACUGUUUUUUUUAUCGAUACUGGAGUACUUAGAAAUGACCAAAGUCAAAUGUUUGAAGUGAGAGUUUUCUUGAGUGGCAUGAACUUAAAUUCUACAUCAAAUGUUUAUUAUGAUAAUCAUGCUGUUUACUGCUUAUAUCAUUGCCAUAGGUAAAAUUUUAUAGGUCUGUGUACAACCAUUAAGGGGGCAUUCCCUAAGUUGUUGGAAAGUCUAUCUGUUGGUAAUGCGUUCACGGAAGCUUUAGGGUGUAUGGAAUUGAGACAUUUAGGGAAGCUUAUCCAUCUUGUAGUUAUUCCUCUGGUCAAGCAUUGUCCCCGUGAAAUCUUGGAGGAGUGGACAGUCAACUUAUUAGAGCCCAUACUAUUGGAGUGUGAGGAUAGACUUCAUGGUACUUGGUUUUAUCUUCUUUAUAAAAGACAAGCACACAACCUUUUUAACUAUGGUAAUCUUGUUGGAGAAGAUGAACAAAUAAAUAAAAUGGGAUAUAAGCUACUGCUAGAGUUUACUCGAAAGAUGUCAGAUUUGCUUGAGGCCUUAGCAUUUAUGGAAAAAACUGUUGUGCCUCUACAUGAAGAUGUUAAACCUAUCUGCAACAAGGACACUGUCUCUUCUCAAGAUUUGAACUCUAUGGCACCAUCUUCUUUCUGCAGGUUUCUUCUACAUCAUAAUUUCUUUGAGAAGUUGAGGAUGAGCUUCUUUGGAUACUUUGUGGAUGAUAAAGCAGCAAUCAAGGCUCUUCACUUUUGCUGUUAUCUGAUUCAGCUUGCAGUUUCCACAAAUGAUGUGCGGCUUGAGCGUUUGAUUGUAGAUGAUCUGCUCCCGUGUUUGAUUCGGCGUCUAGACAAUGAGCUCCAAUGUGCAACCCAAAGUCUAAGACAUGAAUCAGGGUCAAGUACAGAUGGUAGUGUGGACAAAGAGCUGCAUGCUCUUUGUGAAGACUUGUAUGUUUAUCUGGUAAAGGUAAGCUAUUAAUGCAAGGGAGUCACUACGAUGUAUGAUUUAUGCACUUCAAAUACACUUCAUAUUUGCAAUUUAUAGAAUGUACUGGGUACAUGCUUUUUGCCGCUGAUAUGGAACAAAGCGAGCCGCAGCUUGUUUACCUCCAUUAUCUGCCGGCCCUUAAAAAUUUGCUUGUAUU